GCCAGCUCAGUCAGUACAGCAUGAGAUUCUUCCUCUCAAGGGUUGUGGGUUCGAGCCCCACGUUGGGCA